CCUACGGGGUGCAGCAGUGAGGAAUAUUUGUCAAUGGGCUUACGCCUGAACCAGCCAAGUCGCGUGAGGGAAGACUGCCCUAUGGGUUGUAAACCUCUUUUGUCAGGGAGCACCGCCGGCUACGGCUAGCCGGACUGAGAAUACCUGAACAAAAACCAUCGGCUAACUCCGUGCAAGCAGCCGCGGUAAUACGGAGGAUGCUAGCGUUAUCCGUAUUUAUUGGGUUUAAAGGGUGCGUAGGCGGAAUGCCAAGUCAGCGGUAAAAUCGCGGGGCCCAACCUCGCUCCGCCGUUGAAACUGGCGUUCUUGAGUGGGCGAGAAGUAUGCGGAAUGCGUGGUGUAGCGGUGAAAUGCAUAGAUAUCACGCAGAACUCCGAUUGCGAAGGCAGCAUACCGGCGCCCAACUGACGCUGAAGCACGAAAGCGUGGGUAUCGAACAGGAUUAGAUACCCGUGUAGUC
rnacentral:rRNA from 1 species